ACAUAUUUUAGAGCUAAAAUCAUUUUUAUUAAAUAAUAAAAAUUACUUUCAAAUCCAAAUUCAACCUACUAUAAAAAUAAGUAUCCUAAAAUAAAUUAAAUGUAACCCAUUUUUUCUUUCCUAUAAACUACACCUUGAUCUGAAUUAAUUUCUUAAUAAAAUUUUAAAUAUUAAAUUUCUAAAAAAAUAUUUAUAUAACAACGGUAUGCAAACUAAAAAGAAAAGUAAAUUUAAUCGUGGAUUAUCAUUUACAAAACAGGUUCCUCUGAAAAGAUAAAAUACCGCCAAAAUUUUUAAUUUUCAAGAAUAUAUCUAAUACUAAUUUAAUGAUUCUAAUUACAUUCUUAAUAAUAGGGUAUCUAAUCCUAGUUUACAAAUAAAAUUUUUCAACCUCAUUAACCAAUAAAAAAUUUUUUAAAAAUUUAAAUUUCACCUUAUAAUUUUUAAUUAAAAUUUUUAAUUUCAAUUAAUUGUUAUUAAUAAAGUUAAAUUGGAUUAUUUGUAUAACCGCA
rnacentral:rRNA from 1 species